AUUGAACGCUGGCGGAAUGCUUUACACAUGCAAGUCGAACGGUAACAGGUCCUCGGAUGCUGACGAGUGGCGAACGGGUGAGUAAUAUAUCGGAACGUGCCCAGUCGUGGGGGAUAACGUAGCGAAAGUUACGCUAAUACCGCAUACGAUCUAUGGAUGAAAGCGGGGGAUCGCAAGACCUCGCGCGACUGGAGCGGCCGAUAUCAGAUUAGGUAGUUGGUGGGGUAAAGGCUCCCCAAGCCAACGAUCUGUAGCUGGUCUGAGAGGACGACCAGCCACACUGGAACUGAGACACGGUCCAGACUCCUACGGGAGGAAGCAGUGGGGAAUUUUGGACAAUGGACGCAAGUCUGAUCCAGCCAUUCCGCGUGCAGGAUGAAGGCCCUCGGGUUGUAAACUGCUUUUGUACGGAACGAAAAGGUCUCUAUUAAUACUAGGGGCUCAUGACGGUACCGUAAGAAUAAGCACCGGCUAACUACGUGCCAGCCGCCGCGGUAAAAC
rnacentral:rRNA from 1 species